UACAGAGGGGGCAAGCGUUGUUCGGAAUUACUGGGCGUAAAGGGCGCGUAGGCGGCCUUCUAAGUCGAACGUGAAAUCCCCGGGCUCAACCCGGGAACUGCGUCCGAUACUGGAAGGCUUGAAUCCGGGAGAGGGAUGCGGAAUUCCAGGUGUAGCGGUGAAAUGCGUAGAUAUCGGAAGGAACAUCAGUGGCGAAGGCGACUUCCUGGACCAAUACUGACACUCAGGUGCGAAAGCGUGGGGAGCAAACAGG
rnacentral:rRNA from 1 species